GUAAGGAAUAUUGGGCAAUGGUCGGAAGACUGACCCAGCCAUGCCGCGUGCAGGAAGACGGCCCUCUGGGUUGUAAACUGCUUUUAUCUGGGAAGAAAAAGGCCAUGCGUGGCAAAUUGCCGGUACCAGAUGAAUAAGCACCGGCUAACUCCGUGCCAGCAGCCGCGGUAAUACGGAGGGUGCGAGCGUUGUCCGGAUUUAUUGGGUUUAAAGGGUGCGUAGGCGGCUGAUUAAGUCAGCGGUGAAAGACUUCGGCUUAACCGGAGCAGUGCCGUUGAUACUGGUUGGCUUGAGUGUCGGAGGGGUACAUGGAAUUGAUGGUGUAGCGGUGAAAUGCAUAGAUACCAUCAGGAACACCGAUAGCGAAGGCAUUGUACUGGCCGACAACUGACGCUGAUGCACGAAAGUGUGGGGAUCGAACAGGAUUAGAAACCCGAGUAGUCC
rnacentral:rRNA from 1 species